CAUUGCAUUUUUAAAUAGAUCUAUCAAUUAUUUGAAUUUAAACUUAGUUGGGUUGAUUCUUGUUUAUCCUCGUGAAACUGGAAAUUUAUGGUGUUGAGAAGCAAUUAGUGUUAUUUUAUUAGUUAUUCACUAGGGUUCAUUUUAAGGAAAGACAAAUACGAAUAAAGAGAUCCCCAUAAAAAUAAUAAGGUUAUCUCUAUUUUAAAUUUUUUUUUACUCGUAUUUAUUUUAUCUUUUUCAAAGAAGACUUCAGGAAGUAAUUAAGUACUAAGAAACAACCAUUCUGACCAUAUUUCUUCCCUUCAUUGUGUUACGAGUUUCAAAAGCAAAACAACGAGAAGAACAAUCGCAACAGUUAAGCUGCUACAGUAGAGGAAGAAGUGUAGUAGCUGGAGCUUGUUGGGAAAAUUCUUACACGAGUAACGCGGGCACCUGCUCUAACAAAUUAAGAAAUCUCGAGCUUAUUUACAAUUCAAGCAACAAAACAAUCAGAAAAUCAUCAUUGGAUCCAUUUCUGUUACAAUGUAAAUCAUUGUAGUUAAGGAGACGAACUUUCAGUUCUGGAAAGGGGUCAUAAAACUGAAAUCUAUUGGACAAGAUUAAAAUAGUGGGGGUAAAUUAAAUUUCAUUAGAAACCA